rnacentral:rRNA from 1 species
CAGCCGCCGCGGUAAUACGAUGGGUGCAAGCGUUAAUCGGAAUUACUGGGCGUAAAGCGUGCGUAGGCGGUUUGUUAAGUCUGCUGUGAAAUCCCCGGGCUCAACCUGGGAACUGCAUUUGUGACUGGCGAGCUAGAGUAUGGCAGAGGGGGGUAGAAUUCCACGUGUAGCAGUGAAAUGCGUAGAGAUGUGGAGGAAUACCGAUGGCGAAGGCAGCCCCCUGGGCCAAUACUGACGCUCAUGCACGAAAGCGUGGGGAGCAAACAGGAUUAGAUACCCGCGUAGUCCCUGUCUCUUAUAC